UCUGCCAGCCUUAAGUACUCUAAAGGCACCAGAUCCUGUUUGAUCUUGGAAGCUAAGCAGGAUCAAUUAUGGUUAAUAUUUGGAUGGGAGACCAUCCACAAACCCCAGUUGGUAGGA
rnacentral:rRNA from 1 species